rnacentral:lncRNA from 1 species
UUACUUUUAUUAACUCCCAAUAUUUCUCCAGUAAUUUAUCUUAUAAACCCCUGGAUUUAGUUUAGUAAGUGCAACUAUGAAUUUGAACAAUCUUCCAAAAAUAAUGGAGCACAUCUGUCAUCCGUUGCUAGUUAAGAUAUUGCCUCCAAAGUAAAAGAUCAUCAAUCUUUCUGGAUUCAGCGUAUCAAUAUUCUCCACACACAUUGAGA